UGGGGAAUUUUGGACAAUGGGCGAAAGCCUGAUCCAGCAAUGCCGCGUGUGUGAAGAAGGCCUUCGGGUUGUAAAGCACUUUGUCCGGAAAGAAAUCCUUGGCUCUAAUACAGUCGGGGGAUGACGGUACCGGAAGAAUAAGCACCGGCUAACUACGUGCCAGCAGCCGCGGUAAUACGUAGGGUGCAAGCGUUAAUCGGAAUUACUGGGCGUAAAGCGUGCGCAGGCGGUUUGCUAAGACCGAUGUGAAAUCCCCGGGCUCAACCUGGGAACUGCAUUGGUGACUGGCAGGCUAGAGUAUGGCAGAGGGGGGUAGAAUUCCACGUGUAGCAGUGAAAUGCGUAGAGAUGUGGAGGAAUACCGAUGGCGAAGGCAGCCCCCUGGGCCAAUACUGACGCUCAUGCACGAAAGCGUGGGGAGCAAACAGGAUUAGAUACCCCUGGUAGUCCACGCCCUAAACGAUGUCAACUAGUUGUUGGGGAUUCAUUUCCUUAGUAACGUAGCUAACGCGUGAAGUUGACCGCCUGGGGAGUACGGUCGCAAGAUU
rnacentral:rRNA from 1 species